rnacentral:rRNA from 1 species
ACGAACGCUGGCGGCACGCUUAACACAUGCAAGUCGAACGAGAGAAGAGGAGCUUGCUUUUCUGAUCUAGUGGCGGACGGGUGAGUAACACGUGAGCAAUCUGCCUUUCAGAGGGGGAUACCGAUUGGAAACGAUCGUUAAUACCGCAUAACAUAAUUGAACCGCAUGAUUUGAUUAUCAAAGAUUUAUCGCUGAAAGAUGAGCUCGCGUCUGAUUAGCUAGUUGGUAAGGUAACGGCUUACCAAGGCGACGAUCAGUAGCCGGACUGAGAGGUUGAUCGGCCACAUUGGGACUGAGACACGGCCCAGACUCCUACGGGAGGCAGCAGUGGGGAAUAUUGCACAAUGGAGGAAACUCUGAUGCAGCGAUGCCGCGUGAGGGAAGAAGGUUUUAGGAUUGUAAACCUCUGUCUUCAGGGACGAAAAAUGACGGUACCUGAGGAGGAAGCUCCGGCUAACUACGUGCCAGCAGCCGCGGUAAUACGUAGGGAGCGAGCGUUGUCCGGAAUUACUGGGUGUAAAGGGAGCGUAGGCGGGAUCGCAAGUCAGAUGUGAAAACUAUGGGCUUAACCCAUAAACUGCAUUUGAAACUGUGGUUCUUGAGUGAAGUAGAGGUAAGCGGAAUUCCUAGUGUAGCGGUGAAAUGCGUAGAUAUUAGGAGGAACAUCAGUGGCGAAGGCGGCUUACUGGGCUUUAACUGACGCUGAGGCUCGAAAGCGUGGGGAGCAAACAGGAUUAGAUACCCUGGUAGUCCACGCCGUAAACGAUGAUUACUAGGUGUGGGGGGACUGACCCCUUCCGUGCCGCAGCAAACGCAAUAAGUAAUCCACCUGGGGAGUACGACUGCGAGGUAGAAACUGAAAGGAAUGGACGGGGGCCCGCACAAGCAGUGGAGUAUGUGGAUUAAUUCGAAGCAACGCGAAGAACCUUACCAGGUCUUGACAUCGUAUGCAUAGCUCAGAGAUGAGUGAAAUCUCUUCGGAGACAUAUAGACAGGUGGUGCAUGGUUGUCGUCAGCUCGUGUCGUGAGAUGUUGGGUUAAGUCCCGCAACGAGCGCAACCCUUACUGUUAGUUGCUACGCAAGAGCACUCUAGCAGGACUGCCGUUGACAAAACGGAGGAAGGUGGGGAUGACGUCAAAUCAUCAUGCCCCUUAUGACCUGGGCCUCACACGUACUACAAUGGCUGUCAACAGAGGGAAGCAAAGCCGCGAGGUGGAGCAAACCCCUAAAAGCAGUCUUAGUUCGGAUUGUAGGCUGCAACCCGCCUACAUGAAGUCGGAAUUGCUAGUAAUCGCAGAUCAGCAUGCUGCGGUGAAUACGUUCCCGGGCCUUGUACACACCGCCCGUCACGCCAUGGGAGUCGGUAACACCCGAAGCCUGUAGUCUAACCGCAAGGAGGACGCAGUCGAAGGUGGGAUUGAUGACUGGGGUG